rnacentral:rRNA from 1 species
GACGAACGCUGGCGGCGGGCUUAACACAUGCAAGUCGAACGGAAAGGCCCUGCUUUUGUGGGGUGCUCGAGUGGCGAACGGGUGAGUAACACGUGAGUAACCUGCCCUUUACGUUGGGAUAACUUCAGGAAACUGGUGCUAAUACCGGAUAGGAGCUCCUGCUGCAUGGUGGGGUUUGGAAAGUUUCGGCGGUUGGGGAUGGACGCGGGGCUUAUCAGCUUGUUGGUGGGGUAGUGGCUUACCAAGGCUUUGACGGGUAGCCGGCCUGAGAGGGUGAACGGCCACAUUGGGACUGAGAUACGGCGCAGACUCGUACGGGAGGCAGCAGUGGGGAAUCUUGCCCAAUGGGCGGACGUGUGAUGCAGCAGCGCCGCGUGCGGGAUGACGGCCUUCGGGUUGUAAACCGCUUUAGCCUGUGACGAAGCGUGAGUGACGGUAAUGGGUAAAGAAGCACCGGCUAACUACGUG